UCAUUGACACUUUCCAGUAGACACAGGCUCCUCUGAGGGUGCGUGUAGCAUGUAGUAUCUAUGGUGCUGUGUUCCUCUUCCCCUUCUGCCUGCAGGCAAGAGAAGGAAAGAGGGAGCACGUAGGGAUCACUAAGGACAAUCCAGGCAGCCGACUCUGAGAGUCCAACUAACAGAUGUGCUAACCGGGCGUCCUGGUAAGUUUUAGAAAAUGCAGAUGCCACUAAAUUCUCCAGCUAUGACCUUUGUAGAACAGACCAGCAAGAAAUCUGCUUUCAGAGUCUUCUGGGGACAGCAGGAAUGAGGAAGAGGGGAGAGUAUCUCCUCUCCAGGUACCUGGUGAUGCUGGACCUCUCCGGCUGUGCCAGGAGCAUGCAUGAAAAGCAGAGUCCUUCACAGGCACGUAAAGGAUUGGUCAGCAGCCAGGAAACGUGGGUUCUAGAAUCUGACUUCAGCAACUGAGAUGUCUAAUGUGGAUCUACAUACCAGCUUUGGAUGCAUGGAUUCAGAUUGAACUUAGGGUAUCUUCCAUGCUAAGCAAAUGUUUGGCCACUGAAUACACCUCCAGCCAACAAGCACAUCCUGGAUAGAUGGAUGAGUAGAUGAGUAUGGAGUGGAUCCAAUACUAGACAGCAAACCCGAGUCCUCGUGUGUGAGCCUCCUCCAUUUCCUAAAGCCCUUGCCCUCAAGAGUACAUGGGCCUUGUAAUAGUCUUUCUUUUGGGGAGGGGAGGUGUUCGAGACAGGAUUUCUCUACAUAGCCUUGGCCACCCUAGAGCUUGUUCUGAAGACUAGACUGGCCUUGAACUCACAGAGACCUGCUUGGAAUUAAAGUGCUGGAAUUAAAGGCCUGCACCACCACCAUCACCUUGCUCGGCCUUAUAAUAUUCUUGCUCAGUCCAGUGACAAGGAAGUACCAGACCGCUCCAAAUGGUGGGACUCUCUCCAGAAUAACCCCUGCAGCUGAACGAGAACAUUGGUCAUGGCAGAACAGAGAAUGCCACGUGACAACAGCCCUGAUUAAAAUGGCAUGACAACUAAAUGACCACAGACAAGAGACAAACGGACAGAAAGUGCACUCUUGGGACAACUGCUGAAUACAGGACACACAGAUGAGUCAAUGGUAAUGUCGAUGUUGUAGUUGCAGUUACUGGCUUCAGUCACUGCCGCAAACAGCCUUGCCAAGCCUGUUAGCACAGCUCUCUGCAGGCAGAGGCAGGAGCAUAAGAGUUCAAGGACAACUUGGGCUACAUAGCAACAGCUGUCUAAAAAUUGCAUACGCACGUACAUACACACACACAAACACACAUUUUAGAAACUAUUUUAAGCACUAAAGUAUCCAAGGUGUAAAAUAUAUGACAUAUAAAUGUAUAUGAGUGUGAGAUACACAGAGAGAAUGAUUGAUACUUUAAAUAUGGCAAAAUGAUAAUGAUUGAUUAGCCUGAGUGAGAGCCAGCUUUUCUACUACUUGAAAUUAUUUUUAAAUUAUAUUAAAUUUAAAUAAGCUGCGUGUGAAUAUGUAACAAAAUUCAAAACGUAGAAGAGAGGUUGGGAUGUAGUUCAGUGGUAGAAUACUUGCCUUGUGUGUUGUUCAGGGCCAGCACUACAGUAAAACAAGCAUGAGCCUUAGACACUCCAAGGUAACCCUUGGUGCCUGGCUUUUGCAUCUCCUUGGUAUUCUCUUGUUCUUUCUUCUCCUUUUGUCCAAAGUCUUCCUCAGUCUAUCACCCAGGAGAGCAGUAGGGAAGGGGCAGAGGGCAGUGUCAAGAUUGAGUAGAACCCUGGGCUGGAGAGAUGGCUCAGUGGUUAAGAGCACUGACUACUCUU
rnacentral:sRNA from 1 species